UUUAGCAUGGAAUAAUAAAAUAGGACGCGCGUUCCCAUUUUGUUGGUUUCUGAGAUCGCCGUAAUGAUUAAUAGGGAUAGUUGGGGGCAUUUGUAUUCCGUCGUCAGAGGUGAAAUUCUUGGAUUGCCGGAAGACAAACUACUGCGAAAGCAUUUGCCAAGGAUGUUUUCAUUGAUCAAGAACGAAGGAAGGGGGAUCGAAAACGAUUAGAUACCGUUGUAGUCUCUUCUGUAAACUAUGCCAAUUGGGGAUCGGUACAGGAUUUUUAAUGACUGUAUCGGCACCCGAAGAGAAAUCUUUAAAUGAGGUUCGGGGGGGAGUAUGGUCGCAAGGCUGAAACUUAGAGGAAUUGACGGAAGGGCACCACCAGGUGUGGAGCCUGCGGCUUAAUUUGACUCAACACGGGGAAACUCACCAGGUCCAGACACAAUAAGGAUUGACAGAUUGAUAGCUCUUUCUUGAUCUUGUGGUUGGUGGUGCAUGGCCGUUCUUAGUUGGUGGAGUGAUUUGUCUGGUUAAUUCCGAUAACGAACGAGACCUUAACCUGCUAAAUAGACCAGCCGGCUUUGGCUAGCUGCUGUCUUCUUAGAGGGACUAUCAGCGUUUAGCUGAUGGAAGUUUGAGGCAAUAACAGGUCUGUGAUGCCCUUAGAUGUUCUGGGCCGCACGCGCGCUACACUGACAGAGCCAGCGAGUCUACCACCUUUGCCGGAAGGCAUGGGUAAUCUUGUGAAACUCUGUCGUGAUGGGGAUAGAGCAUUGCAAUA
rnacentral:rRNA from 1 species